UACGAAGGGAGCAAGCGUUGCUCGGAUUUAUUGGGCGUAAAGGGUGUGUAGAUGGUUUUCUAAGUUAGAUGUGAAAGCCCAGGGCUUAACCCUGGAAUUGCAUUUAAGACUGUAAAACUUGAAGUUCGAAGAGGUUAGCAGAAUUCCCAGUGUAGAGGUGAAAUUCGUAGAUAUUGGGAAGAAUACCAAUGGCGUAGGCAGCUAACUGGUCGACACUUGACGCUGAGGCACGAAAGCGUGGGUAGCAAACAGG
rnacentral:rRNA from 1 species